GUCACAGUAGCUAAAAACAAAGCGCUAGUCUUGUAAACUAGAGAAUGAAGAUUAAACCUCUUCCUGUGACA
rnacentral:tRNA from 1 species